rnacentral:rRNA from 1 species
UACGAAGGGUGCAAGCGUUACUCGGAAUUACUGGGCGUAAAGCGUGCGUAGGUGGUUUUUAAGUCCGUUGUGAAAGCCCUGGGCUCAACCUGGGAAUGGCAGUGGAUACUGGCACGCUAGAGACAAGUGAGAGGCAAGCGGAAUUCCGGGUGAUAGCGGUGGAAUGCGUAGAGAUCCGGAAGAACACCGGAGGCGAAGGCGGGCUUGCUG